rnacentral:rRNA from 1 species
CGAACGCUGGCGGCGUGCCUAAUACAUGCAAGUAGAACGCUGAAGAGAGGAGCUUGCUCUUCUUGGAUGAGUUGCGAACGGGUGAGUAACGCGUAGGUAACCUGCCUUGUAGCGGGGGAUAACUAUUGGAAACGAUAGCUAAUACCGCAUAACAAUGGAUGACACAUGUCAUUUAUUUGAAAGGGGCAAUUGCUCCACUACAAGAUGGACCUGCGUUGUAUUAGCUAGUAGGUGAGGUAACGGCUCACCUAGGCGACGAUACAUAGCCGACCUGAGAGGGUGAUCGGCCCACUGGGACUGAGACACGGCCCAGACUCCUACGGGAGGCAGCAGUAGGGAAUCUUCGGCAAUGGGGGCAACCCUGACCGAGCAACGCCGCGUGAGUGAAGAAGGUUUUCGGAUCGUAAAGCUCUGUUGUAAGAGAAGAACGAGUGUGAGAGUGGAAAGUUCACACUGUGACGGUAACUUACCAGA